CACUGGAAGGGGCUGCCCAGGGAAGUGGUGGAGUCCUCAUCCCUGGAGUUGUCCAAGGAAUGACUGGAUGUGGCACUCAGUGCUCUGGGGUGGGUGACGAGGUGGGGAUUGGUCAAAGUUUGGACUUGAUGAUCUUGGAGGGCUUUUCCAACCUUAAAAAUUCCAUGAUUCUAUG